AUGAUUGCUUCCCCCCCCCCCCAAAAAAAAACAAGAACAGCUGGGCAUGGUGGUACCCGCCUGUAUUCCUAACUACUCAGAAAACUGAAGCAGAAGGAUUGCCUGAAUCCAAGACAUCAAGGCUGUGGUGAGCCUCAAUCUUGACACUGCAUCCCAGCUUGGGCGAUAAGGUGAGACCUCAUUCAAACAAACUGAAUAAUCGAGGAAUUAUAAGUACUUUUGCUGUCUUCGGUGACCACUGGAUUCUGCAUUCUGGUAACCUGCAGUAUGGCGGCAUCAUACAAUUUACAACUGUCAGUUCCUGAAGGGCAGAAGAGGUAGCAAUGUGCACAAGACUAGCAUAGUGCCUUGCCCACGGUAUUUAUUUGAUAUAAUUUUGUUGUUCAAAUGAAUCCUUACAAUACCUAGUACAUUUGAAAGGAAAUCAAUAAAAGUUGAAAAAGUA